CGAACGUUGGUGCGGCGAUCCGCGGAAGUAUGGGGGGGGCAAGCGUUAAUGUGAGUUAGUGGCGGUAUGGCGUGCGUGGGUGGGUGAGUCAUGCAGUCGUGGAAGCCCUGUGCUGAACGGUGGAACGGUGAUUGGGACGGCUGGACUAGAGGUGGCUAGAGGAUCGAGGAAUUCCGGGUGUAGCGGUGAAAUGCGGAGAGAUCCGGAGGAACACCGAUGGCGAAGGCAGCGGUCUGGGGCCACACUGACGCUGAGGCACGAAAGCGUGGGGAGCAAACAGGAUUAGAUACCCUGGUAGUC
rnacentral:rRNA from 1 species